ensembl:lncRNA
GUUAUGGAGGAGGGGGGAGGAUACACUGCCCCUGGACACGACAAUGGAUAUGGAAACCUGGGAUAUCCUUUCGCGGGGAAACCAAAGCCGCCGGGUUACGGACAGGGGGGCGCACCUCGGAGCUGGAAACGGAAAUUCAUAUAAAGGCAAUGGAAAUGGCUACAGUGCUGAUGUCCAACCGGACUAUGCAAGCCUUGGCCAAGGUGCUAAUGGAAAAUCAGGCGUUGCCAGACAGAUGCCUUACAAUGGAGCUCCAGUGGAUGCUGCUGGAAUAGAUGGAAUGAGCCAGUUUGAGCCUCAGUCCGCAGGUCUGGGUCCAAAUGGGAAACUAGGCAGCAUGUACGGUGGAAUGGGUGGCUCACCCACCGGGGGGCAGACGCUGGGAAUGGGUGCGGAGAAUUACAACACCAAGUACGGCAUCGGCGGGCUGCAGUUUGGUGAACAACCCCUCAGUACAGAGACCAAUGGCCCAGGAAAGUAUGGUUUUGGUGGGAGCCCCUAUGGGCCCGCUGGCGAUGCCACAUAUGGCGGUGUUGGUGCCGGCAUGGGAGGGGAACCUGCGCCCCAACAGUACGGAUACGGUGGGUUCCCCGAUGGGGGGCAGCUUCUUGCCAGUAAUGGAAAUACAGCCGGCAAAUAUGGUUACGGAAGGAUGCCGUAUGAAGCUCAACCGGCUCCUGAAGCCAUUUCUACGGGCCAAUAUGGUCUGCCGGGGUCAUCGUAUCAGUCUGAACUACCUGGGCAGCGCGGAAUGUUGCCAGGCAAAUACGGCGCUGGUGAAGUUCCCUACGCACCACAAACUCUUGGUUUUAUGAGUGAAGCUACACCUUUUGGGGAAUAUGAAAACCAGAGGCCAUACGAGUCGCAGGCCCUCGAAUCGGCUUCUGAAAGCAGAUCCGGUGGACAACACGAAAACAACGGCUACAUAAACGGACAAGUGCGGCCAGAAGUUGUCGAACUUCCCGCGACUCCCACACCGAGCCCUCCCCCGGCUCCCCCCUCCGUCACAUCCCAUCGGCCCGCCGACUCCUUCGGGCACACGUUGGCGGCAGAUGUUGAGGACCCACCUGAGCCCGCCGGCCUCGCCUCAGACUCCGCCCCCGCUGCGGAAACCGAAGGCGUGGCUCAGGAGUCGGAGCGGGCCGACGACCUGCAGCAGCAGCAGCAGCAGCAGCUGCCACGUCAGAUACACAUUCAGCAGCAUCUCAAACUGCAUUUUCACCCACAAGGAGAAAAAAACAACAAACAUGACUUGAAUGGCUUCUUUGGGAAUAGCGGCUAUCAAGGCUGA